UUAGAUUCAAUACGUUCACACAAUUAUUUUUGAUAUUUUCUAAUCUCAAAUCAAAAUGCUCUUCUUAAACCACAGUGUUAUUAUUAUUGCAUUUGCAGUAGUAGCAGUUUUGGGUAAUGAUUUAGAAGUUACACUCGGCCAAAUAAAUAGUGAUUGUGAAGAUUUACUAACGAAUUAUACUGGAUUUAAA